CCUACGGGAGACAGCAGUAGGGAAUCUUGCACAAUGGGCGAAAGCCUGAUGCAGCAACGCCGCGUGAGCGAUGAAGGCCUUCGGGUCGUAAAGCUCUGUCCUCAAGGAAGAUAAUGCCGGUACGUGAGGAGGCAGCCCCGGCUAACUACGUGCCAGCAGCCGCGGUAUUACGUAGGGGGAUAGCGUUAUCCGGAAUUACUGGGCGUAAGGGGGGCGUAGGUGGUUUCUUAAGUCAGAGGUGAAGGGCUACGGCUCAACCGUAGUGAGACUUUGAAACUGGGGAACUUGAGUGCAGGAGAGGAGAGUGGAAUUCCUAGUGUAGCGGUGAAAUGCGCAGAGAUUAGGAGGAACACCAGUUGCGAAGGCGGCUCUCUGGACUGUAACUGACACUGAGGCACGAAAGCGUGGGGAGCAAACAGGAUUAGAUACCCUUGUAGUC
rnacentral:rRNA from 1 species